CGCCUCUUGAAUAAAUCAUAAGAGGUCCAGCCUGCCCAGUGACAUAGUUCAACGGCCGCGGUAUCCUAACCGUGCGAAGGUAGCGUAAUCACUUACCCUUUAAAUGAGGGCUAGUAUGAAUGGCAUCACGAGAGUUAUACUGUCUCCUUUUUCUAAUCAGUGAAACUAAUCUCUCCGUGAAGAGGCGGGGAUAAAAUUAUAAGACGAGAAGACCCUAUGGAGCUUUAAAUAACACAACAUUUAUUAUUUCCCCCCCUAAUUUCCGAAAUUUAAUCCCCAUGAUAAUACUAUGAUUGUUAAUUUUCGGUUGGGGUGACCACGGAGUAAAAACUAACCUCCACGUUGAAAAGGGGGGCUUCCCCCUUAACAAAAAGCUACAACUUUAUGUAUCAACAAAUUGACAUUAAUUGACCCAUCAUUUGAUCAACGAACCAAGUUACCCUAGGGAUAACAGCGCCAUCCACUUCAAGAGCUCAUAUCGACAAGUGGGUUUACGACCUCGAUGUUGGAUCAGGGUAUCCCAGUGGUGUAGCCGCUACUAAAGGUUCGUUUGUUCAACGACUAAAACCCU
rnacentral:rRNA from 1 species